rnacentral:rRNA from 1 species
GGCUCAGGAUGAACGCUGGCGGCAUGCCUAAGACAUGCAAGUCGAACGAGAAGGCCCAUAGAAGACGGAGUGCUUGCACAAAGUCGGAAAUGGAUUCCCUUCUAGUGGCAAACGGGUGAGUAACACGUGGGUUACCUACCUCUAAGACGGGGGACAACAGUUGGAAACGAUUGCUAAUACCGGAUGUGCUCUACGGAGUAAAGAAGCCCUUAAAGCUUCGCUUAGAGAUGGGCCUGCGGUGCAUUAGCUAGUUGGUGAGGUAACGGCCCACCAAGGCGAUGAUGCAUAGCCGGCCUGAGAGGGUGAACGGCCACAUUGGGACUGAGACACGGCCCAAACUCCUACGGGAGGCAGCAGUAGGGAAUUUUCGGCAAUGGGGGGAACCCUGACCGAGCAAUGCCGCGUGAGUGAAGACGGCCUUCGGGUUGUAAAGCUCUGUUGUAAGGGAAGAACGGUACGGAUAGGGAAUGAUCCGUAAGUGACGGUACCUUACCAGAAAGCCACGGCUAACUACGUG